UUGAGUUCAGCCGGCGGAACGCCUGACACUGGGAAGGUUUUUUUGGGGGGGUUAUCGGGGGGAGACUAACCUUCGGGGACAACACAAUUCCGGUGCCCCGGAUCCUCGGCAGGGAACCAGGGCGGGGGGUGUGUGGGGAGAUGAGCAAAGAGAGCAGAGAAAGAGGAAGAGAGACCCCCCCCCAGCCCUCCCGGUCCACCCUUCUGCAGUCCCCACCAAGGUGGCCUGGGAGCUCGCAGCUCGCUGGGCUGCGGGGAGUACGCACAACACCCCCCUCCUCUAGAAGUCCCCCCAGCCCCCUCCGCAGUACCCCCCAGUCCAGCGCGGACGGUCGAGGGGGAGGCCAGGCCGGGAGCGCGGGCCCGGAGCGCCGGGGGCGGAAGCGCGAAACGGUAGAGACCUACUUUUGGCUAGCUUUCUGGCCCUCGCCUUGGAUCUCAUGUUGUCGGCUGGCUGAAUCCCUCUCCUCCUCCUUGACUCCCGAAGCUGCUACACGCUAUCUUCAUCUCCCCAGCAUUGUCAAUUCCGGACACCUUCGCACAUGCGCACAGAGCCUUCAAUCUGACACCCCUCGCCGGGGCCAAAAAAACUUUCCAAUGUAUUCACCAUCAUCACCAUCACCAUCAUCACCAUCAUCAUCAUUGGCGGCGGAGGCGCUGAGUACGGGCUGGAGCCCGGACGCGCUUUCACCGGAUCAAGCGGCUUUCGCCACCUUUCUUCUCUUAGGGCUCGGGUUCUUGGAGGACGCCCCACCCCCCGGCGAGUGUCUAAGAAUCUGUACUCCCACCCACUCCCAAACUAGAGGGGCGUCCUGUUGUGUCCUCUCCUGCCCCGUCUUACCCCGUCCCCUUCACAACCCGGGUAGUUCGAACCCCGCUUCUCUGCCUGCCCGCUCUGGUUUGCUCCCUGCCCGCAUCAGCUCCUUCCAACAUCGGUUGGCUCCGCAAGCCUUGCCGGGUCCCCCCGUUUCCUCACCAACCCCAGUGGCCCCUAGUCGGGACUGGCCCAUCCCUCCCUCAGCGUUAUAAACAUAAAUAGAGCAACUAUGUUUUGCUAGUCUCCGGGCUGCUGAGCUUGCUAUCCCCAGGCCCGAGUGGAGGUCUUUUGGGGAGAGGGGAGACGGGAACGGGAAAUUGGCGAGAGUCGCUGGAGAACCUCUGGUGCGCCGAGGACCUGGUGGGGUCACCAAAGGGACUGAACCGAUGCAGGAAUCGGCAGAGCUCAGAGAAGUCUAGGGUGGAGUAGAGUGGGAAAGGGUUGUAGUUGAAAGCUCUUGGUUGCCCCCCCCGGCACACUGGAACCUUUCUACACCGCCCAGCCCUGAUUCCAGGUGCCCCGAAGCCAGCUCUCCCUAGCACCUAUGCCUCUUGGCCGGGCCUGGGACCAAGGCGGGAGGGACUGACUUGCCUGUCCCCAGUCCCCCUCAUUCUUUUUCCUACAACUAUUCGCAGACCUUGCGGCUUUCUCUGCUGGGGCAAUCCAGCGGAGGUGAGCACCAGGCUGGGGAGUGGGAGUAAGGGACGGCUGCAGUGUUUAGGAGAGGACAGAUCUGUGGAGGAGCUCUGGGCAAGGGUUAGUCUGGGAAGUGUGUAUGUGGGGGGAGCACUGUACCCCCCCACCUGCUCAAGGGAAGCUCGGAGCUGGAACCUUUGGGGCAGGGAACCGGUAAGGCUAGCAAGGGUCGAGUUGAGGAAACCAAGGAGAGGGGUCCCUCCACCAGGCCAGCAGGUGGAGGGCUCCCACAGGAAGCCCAGUGUCUGGCCAGCAAGGAGAGGCACUGAAGCCGAGAGACCAAUUGGGAGAGACUGCAGGACGAGCCGGCUCAGAACGUAUGCUCCUCCCAACUCCCUCCCCAGGAAAACCUGCCCAAGGCAUAAAGUCGCUCCCAAAAUGCUUCUCAGAUCCAUGAGAGGACUCUGUUCUAGCCUUCAAUGGAGCUCAUGCAGUUUUCUCCACCUAAGCCCCGAGGGGAAAGCCCUGGCAUCUCUAGGAGGGUUCUGGAAGCAGUUCGAGAGUUAGCUGCCACCCAGCAUUUGGUGGGGCGGGGCCCACGCGUUGCCCGCGGCCUCAGGGCCACAAGAGCGAUUCUUCCUGCAGGUGGCCCCUGGGAUCUGGGCCCGCCCACUUUCCCGUUCGCCCGGCCCAGCUCCAGCCCCGCCCACCUAGCUCUCCUCCAGUGACACCCUUCCCCUCUGGGCAAGACCCAGUUACUUGGAUGGAUCUUGACCUCCUAGACAUCUGGGCGGCUUCAUGAGAGAAAGAGAGCUGAGGGACAACACAUAUUCCUGGACCUGGAGGCCUGACACAAAUGAGACAAACACUAAGGACUGAAAAUGUUUGAGACCCUUGAGCCAGGGACUGAGCAGGAUAUAGUCAGUUAAUCAUUCAUUCAACAAACUGUAACCUUGCCCAGUUAGGCAAACCUCAAAUGACUUCACUGGGGAAGGAAGGGGAAAGGGCAGGCUUCCCUUGUGGUUUUUCUUGCCAAGUACUUUUUCCAGCAAAUCCUGGGUGCUUCAGGGAGAAGAUAAAAGAGGUAGGUCCCUGCCCAUCAAGGCUUUAGCUAGUCCCUGUGAUCUGCAGCCUGCCAUUUUUCCUCUGUUCCCUUCAUCUAGAACAAUUUUAGGAACUUCAAAAUCUUGACUUUGCAAAGUAUGAGUUCGUCGUUUUUUUAGAAUGUAAACUCUUUGAGGGCAGGCAUUGUUUUGUCUUUGAAUCCCAGUACCUGGUACAGUGCAUGGUGCACAAUUGGCAUUUAAUAAAUGCUUAUUUAUUUUUACUUGUAUUUAUGCUUUUUACUUUUACUCUGUAUUUAUUUAAAUGUGUACCAGUUGUUUCUACUGUGAGAAUGUAAGCCGUGUGAGGCAGGAAUUAUUUCAUUUUGCCUUUGUAUUCCCAGUGCCUGAUAGUAAUACAUGCUUAAUAAAUGCUUAUUUCUUUUUUAUGGAUGCUCUUUAUAUUUAUUCCAAAUGUAUAUAUAUACAGUUAUUCUCUCCUGUUAGAACAUAAACCCUUUGAAGGCAGAAAUUGUUUCACUUUUGUCUUAUCUCCAAUGCCUAGGACAGUGUCCAGUACA